rnacentral:rRNA from 1 species
UACAGAGGUGGCAAGCGUUGUUCGGAAUUACUGGGCGUAAAGGGCGCGUAGGCGGUUCGAUAAGUCCCGUGUGAAAUCCCUCGGCUCAACUGAGGAACUGCACGGGAAACUGACGGGCUUGAGUUCGGGAGAGGGAUGUGGAAUUCCAGGUGUAGCGGUGAAAUGCGUAGAUAUCUGGAGGAACACCGGUGGCGAAGGCGGCAUUCUGGACCGAAACUGACGCUGAGGCGCGAAAGCCAGGGGAGCAAAGUGGGG